CAUUAAUUCUUUUUUGCGUUGAUACAAUUGAUUUUGAGGGUACAGUUGUUUCUGAGGAAAGUGAAUGAAGAACACAUUUGCGUUUCAUGAGCUGAAGCAAGCGAUCUAGUGAAGAAGGAAUAAGAUUAUUAUAUCGAGGGUUGAAGAAGAUGCAUGUUUGGAUACCAAUUUGUUUCACAAUUGAUAUGAUUCUCAAAGACUCACUCGCCAUUUCCCAUUCUAUGUUAAUAAAUACUUGAUAGUAUUUUGGUUUCUACCCCCUCAUAUUGUAAUUCACUAUAUAUUGUUUGUUUGAACUUUAGUUAUAACAAGUUGUAGUGUUUACCAGCUCUAAGGUUGCAAAUGCGAAUUAGGAAAACAAAACAAAACAAACCAAAUACGAAACAUCUUCCAUAUUCCAUUUUGAACAUUACCUUUAGAGCUCGUUUGCUUGUGUAGGAAAUUGGUUAUGAGUUGACCAAUGUUUAAUUUUCAAGUACCGAAAUAAUUUAAUUUAGUAUAAUUAAAUGACACAUAAUCGAUUUACGUUUUAAGUAGAUGAUCGUAGUAUAUUUAUUUACUCAAAAUCGAUUUUCGGUGGAUUUGGAGGGGCAUUUUGAGUAUCUAUCAAGCUCUUAUCGAGCCAGUUUGAGCUUUGUUAUAGAUUUUCUAAUAGAAUCAAAUAAAUUUCAAAAUGACAUGAGGAUAUAUGAGAUCCUUAAUAUAAUAUAUGUAGGACUAAAUGUCAAUCUUUGAGGCAUGUUUCUAUUAGUCUGUUUAUGGUUUUGUUUUUGUGAUUUUUUCUUCAAAAGCUAUUAAUUUGAUUUGAUUAUAUCCAACACUCCAUAGUGGAGCCAUGGCAGAGAUAGGGGAGCUUCUGAGUAGCAUGGAGACGAGGCGGCCUCAACUAGUGGCGCUUACGAGCUUGCUCGUGGGGAAGAACAACGACAGUGUAGUUGUUGAGUCUGAAGAGAAGGAUGAUGACAAAAAUUCAGACAGCAAUGUUGAAGAUGAAGAUAGUGAAACAGAGGAUUCAGCAGCUGUGGAAGUUGAACCCAAUCCCACCAACAUGGG